rnacentral:rRNA from 1 species
GCUUAGUGUCUUAGCAGGCGAUUCUUCCACGGCACUCGAAGCGUGUCGUGGUAUUUCGCGUAUUGUAAUUUCAACACGAGCGGGGUCAAAUCCUUUGCAGACGACUUAGCUGUGCGAAACGGUCCUGUAAGCAGUAGAGUAGCCUUGUUGUUACGAUCUGCUGAGGGUAAGCCGUCCUUCGCCUCGAUUU